rnacentral:rRNA from 1 species
AGGAUGAACGCUAGCGGCAGGCUUAAUACAUGCAAGUCGAGGGGCAGCAGGUCUGUAGCAAUACAGAUGCUGGCGACCGGCAAACGGGUGCGGAACACGUACGCAACCUUCCUUCGAGUGGGGAAUAGCCCAGGGAAACUUGGAUUAAUACCUCGUAAUAUUAUGAAGUGGCAUCACUUUAUAAUUAUAGCUCCGGCGCUUGAAGAUGGGCGUGCGCCUGAUUAGGUAGUUGGCGGGUAACGGCCCACCAAGCCUACGAUCAGUAACUGGUGUGAGAGCACGACCAGUCACACGGGCACUGAGACACGGGCCCGACUCCUACGGGAGCAGCAGUAAGGAAUAUUGGGCAAUGGACGCAAGUCUAGACCCAGCCAUGCCGCGUGGAGGAUGAAGUCCUCUGGAUUGUAAACUUUCUUUUAUCGUGGAAGUAAUCCAUUAUUUUCUAAGUGUGGUUGACGUACAGAUGAAUAAGCACCGACUACGUCC